rnacentral:rRNA from 1 species
CACGUAGUUGGCCGGUGCUUCUUCUGCAGGUACCGUCACUUGCGCUUCGUCCCUGCUGAAAGAGGUUUACAACCCGAAGGCCGUCAUCCCUCACGCGGCGUCGCUGCAUCAGGCUUUCGCCCAUUGUGCAAUAUUCCCCACUGCUGCCUCCCGUAGGAGUCUGGGCCGUGUCUCAGUCCCAGUGUGGCCGAUCGCCCUCUCAGGCCGGCUACCCGUCGUCGCCUUGGUAGGCCAUUACCCCACCAACAAGCUGAUAGGCCGCGGGCCCAUCCUGCACCGAUAAAUCUUUCCACCACCAACCAUGCGAUCAAUGGUCAUAUCCGGUAUUAGACCCAGUUUCCCAGGCUUAUCCCGAAGUGCAGGGCAGAUCACCCACGUGUUACUCACCCGUUCGCCGCUCGUGUACCCCGAAGGGCCUUACCGCUCGACUUGCAUGUGUUAAGCACGCCGCCAGCGUUCGUCCUGAGCCAGGAUCAAACUCU